rnacentral:tRNA from 1 species
GAAGCGGCUAAGCCAGGUUAAAGGCGCUGGACUGAGGCUCCAGUCCCGUAGGGGUUCGUGGGUUCAAAUCCCACCCCC